GCUGCGGAAGGAUCAUUAAAGAGUAAGGGUGCUCAGCGCCCGACCUCCAACCCUUUGUUGUUAAAACUACCUUGUUGCUUUGGCGGGACCGCUCGGUCUCGAGCCGCUGGGGAUUCGUCCCAGGCGAGCGCCCGCCAGAGUUAAACCAAACUCUUGUUAUUUAACCGGUCGUCUGAGUUAAAAUUUUGAAUAAAUCAAAACUUUCAACAACGGAUCUCUUGGUUCUCGCAUCGAUGAAGAACGCAGCGAAAUGCGAUAAGUAAUGUGAAUUGCAGAAUUCAGUGAAUCAUCGAAUCUUUGAACGCACAUUGCGCCCCUUGGUAUUCCGAGGGGCAUGCCUGUUCGAGCGUCAUUACACCACUCAAGCUAUGCUUGGUAUUGGGCGUCGUCCUUAGUUGGGCGCGCCUUAAAGACCUCGGCGAGGCCACUCCGGCUUUAGGCGUAGUAGAAUUUAUUCGAACGUCUGUCAAAGGAGAGGAACUCUGCCGACUGAAACCUUUAUUUUUCUAGGUUGACCUCGGAUCAGGUAGGGAUACCCGCUGAACUUAA
rnacentral:misc_RNA from 1 species